rnacentral:rRNA from 1 species
UACGGAGGAUGCAAGCGUUAUCCGGAAUGAUUGGGCGUAAAGCGUCCGCAGGUGGCACUUCAAGUCUGCUGUUAAAUACUAGGGCUUAACCCUGGAGCGGCAGUGGAAACUGAAGAGCUAGAGUUCGGGAGGGGUAGAGGGAAUUCCCAGUGUAGCGGUGAAAUGCGUAGAGAUUGGGAAGAACACCGAUGGCGAAGGCGGUCUACUAGGCCGAAACUGACACUCAUGGACGAAAGCUAGGGGAGCGAAUGGG